GAUGAACGCUGGCGGCGUGCCUAAUACAUGCAAGUCGAGCGAACGGACGAGAAGCUUGCUUUUCUGAUGUUAGCGGCGGACGGGUGAGUAACACGUGGAUAACCUACCUAUAAGACUGGGAGAACUUCGGGAAACCGGAGCUAAUACCGGAUAAUAUUUUGAACCGCAUGGUUCAAAAGUGAAAGACGGUCUUGCUGUCACUUAUAGAUGGAUCCGCGCUGCAUUAGCUAGUUGGUAAGGUAACGGCUUACCAAGGCAACGAUGCAUAGCCGACCUGAGAGGGUGAUCGGCCACACUGGAACUGAGACACGGUCCAGACUCCUACGGGAGGCAGCAGUAGGGAAUCUUCCGCAAUGGGCGAAAGCCUGACGGAGCAACGCCGCGUGAGUGAUGAAGGUCUUCGGAUCGUAAAACUCUGUUAUUAGGGAAGAACAUAUGUGUAAGUAACUGUGCACAUCUUGACGGUACCUAAUCAGAAAGCCACGGCUAACUACGUG
rnacentral:rRNA from 1 species